rnacentral:rRNA from 1 species
GAUCAUGGCUCAGGAUGAACGCUAGCUACAGGCUUUAACACAUGCAAGUCGAGGGGCAGCACUAGGUAGCAAUACUGAGGUGGCGACCGGCGCACGGGUGCGUAACGCGUAUCCAACCUUCCCGUUACUCAGGGAUAGCCUUCCGAAAGGGAGAUUAAUACCGGAUGGUGUUCAAGUGGUGCAUAUUAUUUGAACUAAAGAUUUAUCGGUAGCGGAUGGGGAUGCGUACCAUUAGAUAGUAGGCGGGGUAACGGCCCACCUAGUCGACGAUGGUUAGGGGUUCUGAGAGGAAGGUCCCCCACACUGGAACUGAGACACGGUCCAGACUCCUACGGGAGGCAGCAGUGAGGAAUAUUGGUCAAUGGUCGAGAGACUGAACCAGCCAUGCCGCGUGAAGGUCACGGCCCUAUGGGUCUUAAACUUCUUUUGUAAGGGAGCAAUAAGUCUCACGUGUGGGAUGAUGAGAGUACCUUACGAAUAAGCAUCGGCUAACUCCGUG